rnacentral:rRNA from 1 species
GAUGAACGCUGGCGGCGUGCCUAAUACAUGCCAGUCGAGCGAACGGACGAGAAGCUUGCUUCUCUGAUGUUAGCGGCGGACGGGUGAGUAACACGUGGAUAACCUACCUAUAAGACUGGGAUAACUUCGGGAAACCGGAGCUAAUACCUGAUAAUAUUUUGAACCGCAUGGUUCAAAAGUGAAAGACGGUCUUGCUGUCACUUAUAGAUGGAUCCGCGCUGCAUUAGCUAGUUGGUAAGGUAACGGCUUACCAAGGCAACGAUGCAUAGCCGACCUGAGAGGGUGAUCGGCCACACUGGAACUGAGACACGGUCCAGACUCCUACGGGAGGCAGCAGUAGGGAAUCUUCCGCAAUGGGCGAAAGCCUGACGGAGCAACGCCGCGUGAGUGAUGAAGGUCUUCGGAUCGUAAAACUCUGUUAUUAGGGAAGAACAUAUGUGUAAGUAACUGUGCACAUCUUGACGGUACCUAAUCAGAAAGCCACGGCUAACUACGUG